UGGGGAAUUUUGCACAAUGGGGGAAACCCUGAUGCAGCGACGCCGCGUGAUUUAGAAGGCCUUCGGGUUGUAAAAAUCUUUUGUAUGGGAAGAAAAUGACAGUACCAUACGAAUAAGGACCGGCUAAUUACGUACCAGCAGCCGCGGUAAUACGUAAGGUCCGAGCGUUGUCCGGAAUCAUUGGGCGUAAAGGGUACGUAGGCGGAUAAGCAAGUUAGAAGUGAAAUCCUAUAGCUCAACUAUAGUAAGCUUUUAAAACUGCUCAUCUUGAGGUAUGGAAGGGAAAGUGGAAUUCCUAGUGUAGCGGUGAAAUGCGCAGAUAUUAGGAGGAAUACCGGUGGCGAAGGCGACUUUCUGGCCAUAAACUGACGCUGAGGUACGAAAGCGUGGGUAGCAAACAGG
rnacentral:rRNA from 1 species